rnacentral:rRNA from 1 species
UACGUAGGGGGCAAGCGUUGUCCGGAAUCAUUGGGCGUAAAGAGCGCGUAGGCGGUCCGGUAAGUCCGCUCUGAAAGUCCGGGGCUCAACCCCGGGAGGCGGGCGGAUACUGUCGGGCUAGAGUCCGGAAGAGGCGAGUGGAAUUCCUGGUGUAGCAGUGAAAUGCGUAGAUAUCAGGAGGAACACCGAUGGCGAAGGCAGGUCUCUGGGCUGACACUGACGCUCAUGCAUGAAAGCGUGGGGAGCAAACAGG